rnacentral:rRNA from 1 species
AUUGAACGCUGGCGGCAGGCCUAACACCUGCAAGUCGAGCGAGCGGCGGACGGGUGAGUAAUGCCUAGGAAUCUGCCUGGUAGUGGGGGACAACAGUUGGAAACGCCUGCUAAUAGCUGUAACUGAUGGAGGGGAUUGCGUCUGAUUAGCUAUUUGUUGGGGUAAAGGCCAACCAAGGCGAGGAUCAGUAGCCGUGUUGAGAGGAUGAUCGGCCACAUUGGGACUGAGACACGGCCCAGACUCCUACGUGAGGCAGCAGUGGGGAAUAUUGCACAAUGGGCGCAAGCCUGAUGCAGCCAUGCCGCGUGUAUGAAGAAGGCCUUCGGGUUGUAAAGUACUUUCAGCGGGGAGGCGUUACCCGCAGAAGAAGCACCGGCUAACUCCGUGCCAGCAGCCGCGGUAAUUC